rnacentral:rRNA from 1 species
AUGAUUGACACAAACUGCCCAAUUAUGAGCUGGAACGUACGAGGGCUCAACUCACCGGCCUGGCGAGCAGUAGUGAACGAGACGGCGGAGACACACAAGCUCGCUCUUCUCUGUCUCCAAGAGACAAAGAUCGGUGAAUGGAGCAGAUCAUUAGUAAGGGAGGUGUGCGGAGCUAGACUAGCUGACUGUGUCGUCCUCCCGGCCACGGGCACUAGGGGAGGUGCGGCGAUCUUCUGGGACAGGAGCCGCGUAGAGGUGCAAUCCCACACCAUUGGACGCUUCUCCAUCACAGCCAAGAUCACUCUCGCAGCAUCAACGACAUCAUUCUGGAUGACGACAGUGUAUGGGCCUGUCGACGACGGGAGGAAAGACGAUUUCCUUGCCGAGCUAGCACGAACAUCGCCGGCCCCAAGCGACCCCUGGCUCAUCAACGCCGACUUCAACCUAAUAUACAAAGCACGAGAUAAGAACAACAACAAUAUAAAUCAUAGGAUCAUGGGCAAGUUUCGGGCUGCGAUCGACAUAGCGGGGCUCGAGGAGAUCAAAUGCAAAAAUAGAAAGUUCACGUGGAGCAACGAACGCGCGUCUCCAACCCUAGUUAGCAUAGACAAGUUCUUCCGCAAUUGA